rnacentral:rRNA from 1 species
CUUGCGCUAAUAGAUGAGCCUAAGUCAGAUUAGCUAGUUGGUGGGGUAAAGGCCUACCAAGGCGACGAUCAGUAGCUGGUCUGAGAGGACGAUCAGCCACACUGGGACUGAGACACGGCCCAGACUCCUACGGGAGGCAGCAGUGGGGAAUAUUGCACAAUGGGCGCAAGCCUGAUGCAGCGACGCCGCGUGAGGGAUGACGGCCUUCGGGUUGUAAACCUCUUUCAGCAGGGACGAAGCGCAAGUGACGGUACCUGCAGAAGAAGCACCGGCCAACUACGUGCCAGCAGCCGCGGUAAUACGUAGGGUGCAAGCGUUGUCCGGAAUUACUGGGCGUAAAGAGCUCGUAGGCGGUUUGUCGCGUCGUCUGUGAAAACCAGCAGCUCAACUGUUGGCUUGCAGGCGAUACGGGCAGACUUGAGUAUUUCAGGGGAGACUGGAAUUCCUGGUGUAGCGGUGAAAUGCGCAGAUAUCAGGAGGAACACCGGUGGCGAAGGCGGGUCUCUGGGAAAUAACUGACGCUGAGGAGCGAAAGCGUGGGUAGCGAACAGGAUUAGAUACCCUGGUAGUCCACGCCGUAAACGAUGUCAACUAGCCGUUGGGAGCCUUGAGCUCUUAGUGGCGCAGCUAACGCAUUAAGUUGACCGCCUGGGGAGUACGGCCGCAAGGUUAAAACUCAAAUGAAUUGACGGGGGCCCGCACAAGCGGUGG